GAUGAAGAACGUAGUGAAAUGCGAUAAGUAGUGUGAAUUGCAGAAUUCAGUGAAUCAUCGAAUCUUUGAACGCACAUUGCGCCCUUUGGUAUUCCAAAGGGCAUGCCUGUUCGAGCGUCAUUUGUACCCUCAAGCUUUGCUUGGUGUUGGGCGUCUUGUCUCUAGCUUUGCUGGAGACUCGCCUUAAAGUAAUUGGCAGCCGGCCUACUGGUUUCGGAGCGCAGCACAAGUCGCACUCUCUAUCAGCAAAGGUCUAGCAUCCAUUAAGCCUUUUUUUCAAAUUUUGACCUCGGAUCAGGUAGGGAUACCCGCUGAACUUAAGCAUAUCAAUAAGCGGAGGA
rnacentral:misc_RNA from 1 species